GAAGUGUUUUUGACAAUCUCAUUAAAGCUUGUUGGCACUGAGGACUGUAAUUAGCCAGGGCUUCGUAAGACAGAAGGAGUUAAUCCGCUGAGCUGUACUAAGUGGCUGCAGAAGGCUGAAUACUAAGAAUGCUAUCUUUCAGAUCAUUCAAAGCAUCAGAAUGGGGAUAUAAGAAGCUGCACAGCCUUGAAGAAUUUCACUGUAUAUUACAGUGGAUCAUUGCAGUUGUAAUGCAGCACAGAUAAAAGCAAGCUUGCAGAAUCUUGACUACACCUUGGAACGUGGAAUGCAUUCAUGGAUGACCUUUCUAUUGACAUCCUGAUGUAUAAUGUCUUAAGUGUCCUGACAAAGUGACACCUGGCUUUUCUACUUACUUGAUGGUUUAACCAUAUUGGUUGGCUCAAAUAAUGCUCUUUAUUUGUCGUAGUGUCCAGUCACCUGACUGGUUUGUUUCUGUGAAAAUGUGGUUGCUUAUUAAUAUACAUUGUAUUUAAUAUAAUUCUGUAAGUUUGACUACAGCGGUAGCAAGUUUUGCAAUAAAUGCAUACAUUUGAA